AUACGGAGGGUGCAAGCGUUACUCGGAAUCACUGGGCGUAAAGCGCGCGCAGGCGGCUUGAUAAGUUGGAUGUGAAAGCCUACGGCUCAACCGUAGAACUGCAUCCAAAACUGUCAGGCUAGAGUGUGGGAGAGGAAGAUGGAAUUAGUUGUGUAGGGGUAAAAUCCGUAGAGAUAACUAGGAAUACCAAAAGCGAAGGCAAUCUUCUGGAACACUACUGACGCUGAGGCGCGAAGGCGUGGGGAGCAAACAGGAUUAGAAACCCGUGUAGUCC
rnacentral:rRNA from 1 species